rnacentral:lncRNA from 1 species
GAGAAGCACCGCCUCACAGGAAAUAGAGGUUGGAGGGCAGGCCCACAGUUCCCGGGCUAUUUGAGCCUGCGGAGAUGCCUCAGUUCUGCGCACCUGCUUCUCUCACUGCUGGGACCUGUACGGCGGGGGCAGGUCCUUUAGAGAAGUUCCAUCUCGCCAAGUCGAACAAGGAUCUGUAUUCACAGUAUGAGUGAGCCCCCUGCAUUGGCCAUCUUCCCUGUUUUCUCGACCAGCACCAUCUACAGAAGCUGACAAUGACCAUUGGGUUUUCCAGUGGAUACCAGAACGCCCCUUCCUGCUGCCUGGAGGGAAGACAGGAUAACCGUUUGGCAGCAAGAGGGAAAAAUGAGAGAAAGCUUCCCUCGGACGUCAGUGAUCCUUGGCUGUGUGUUCACAUGUAAGAGCAGGCCACCAACAGGCCGGGUGGAUGCUGUAAGUGCCUGAGAUUGACGUGUCGAUUGGAUGAGCAUCACUCUACAACAGUCGGUUGUUCCUGCCAACUUGUCUGCUACCGACUCCUAAACGAUAACACUUCCACCCCCCGUGCAGACUUCUCUUGGCAAAGACGACGGGCCCUCCAGGAGCGAGGGGACGUGAUGUUUGUGCCAUGUCUCACCCCCCGCCCUUGCCCCCGCGGCCCCCCAGCCCCCAGGCCCGCCGGAGACAGGACGCAGCCGCCGGUGCAGCGGCCCGUUCCUGCACAACGCGGCGUCACCCCAGACCCAGUUAGGGUCACCAGGCAGUCAGGCGCACCGCAGCGAGCUUACUGCCCAAUCAACGCUCAGGCCCAGCCAGCCGCCUCCGAGAGUGGCGCAGGGCACAGCUGUGUUCCGGUCCCCAGGUCUCUGCGGCCCCACAACGGGCCGUGGGUGGUCAGCCCCGCUCAAGAGGUGUCAUUCUGAUGGUUUGGGUACAUAAAAUAGAGAAGAGGCAUUUCUUGAGCCAUGAUCUGUGACAUUCAAACGAGCCUCGAGUGACGACGCCAAAAGAGAAAAAAUAGUCCAAGAAGGUGGUUGAAAUAGUGCAGCUGAGCCUGUGAUCCCACAAGCGUCCACAAGAGGGCGCGCAGGAGCCAGAAUUCAGGAGGCCCUGGCGAGCGGGUACUGAGAAGUGAUGGUCACAACGCGGAGGCCCAGAGAGGGAGCGGGCGCGCCCCAGCGCGCAGCCAGUGACCCCUGCCUGUCUCCCUGCGAGGAUCAGGGUCAGGAAUGGGGAGGUGCGGGAACUUGUCUUGUUACCCGCCUGGCUGGAGAGGAAGAGUCAACUAGGGAAGCGGAAGGAGACGGUAAACCUCAGGAGAACAGGGACCUGGGUGUCCUGUUCCCCCAGCCUGGUACCGCUGCACCCAGAACGGUGCCUGGCACCCGCGGGCGACACUCAAUGGGCUGAAGCGCCGGUGCGUGCUGCGUGCUGGUGCUGCCCUCUGGUGGCGCCGGGCCCCCAUUGCACCUGGCUUUCUCCUGCUCAGCGGGGGGCCUUUUUUCUCCCACCCUCCCGUCGCCAGGGCCAUCUCUGUGGGACCCUGGGGAUGCAGAUAAGCGGAUCUUAUCUCCAGGGUUCGUCGCAGCCGGAUUCAGACGAGUGAGGGACCCUCUCUGGCACCUAGUAUUUGAACAGUCAGCCUCAGAAUUAAUAAAGCUGAGUUUAGCGUAUGCUGUGGACUGUGUCGGGAAAAGACACCUUCAGGGCAGAAAUACGACGGUGCCUAUAUCUACAAAGUCUAACCGAGACAGCGAGACAAGCCAGUCCAACUGCCCCAUUUUACAGACAAAGUCACUGAGGCCCGAGCCAGGACAGGAAGAUAAAAUUGCCUGCUUUAGAAAAACCUAGAGCGACUGUCACCCAUUCCGCCACCCACCAAUAACAGGGCAGUCACAUUUGAUGCAAAGCGUGUGCUCCUGAAGACCUUGCAUAAUUCAAAACGUGCAUAAUUCCAGACUAAUUUUGCCACAGAAAUGAAUGCAAAGUCGAAAGGAUGUGUUGCAUAAAUUCACCCCCAUUGUGGGAUAUUUUGGCUUUAACGCUGCUCUUUAUUUUCCCGGCAUUCUCUCUAAUAUUUCACAGCGCCCUCUCUCCUAAAUUAACAGCGCAGCGUUUCCUGCCGGGGGUCCGGCCUUCUUCAUAACAUUUUAUUACAUCUCUCUUCCUUCCCGACGUUAUCAAUUUUCAGGUGCGUUUUUCAACACCACCACUUAAAGGACACUUGGAUGACAUUGUUACCGGAUACGGAUAAAAGAUUUAAAGUUAUAAUAACUGUGAAUGUUGAGAAAGCGGCGCGAUCAUCUCCAAAAUCCUCUGCAGAAAUUAGAAAUUCGGAUGCAUGCCAACAACAGUGCGUGCAUAUACAAGCCAGGUAUUCCUAGUUAACGACCAAAGCGACGUGGCCACGUGGCAGGUUUCCAAUCCCAGUUAACAACUCACUUAGCUCCUCCCACUAGGGAGCUGCAGUUCUUGACAGCUUUUUUAACUGAGGGGCUUUGCAUUAUUUUGAAGCUGACUGCAUAAACAUUUUUAUGUGGCAUUUUCCCAAAGCCACAUAGGUAGUUGAAUUUCUCCUAAACGGUGACCUCACCCCGGAUGAUCUCCCUUGCUAUGUCCUUUACUCCAGAAUGGUGGAAAUGUGUGACCGCACCCAACAAUCACAGCUAUGGACUUCGGAAAUUCCAGCCACCUGCCCCAUAUCCACGCAGGGGCCGGUGUGGAGGCAGCCUCGGCAGAGGCCCGCCCGCCCCGGAGGGCUGGCCCCACCCCUCCUCCAAGUCGACUCCUCUUGGGGAGUGGAGAAGGGGCUCCCCUCCGAGGAGUCCUCCUGUCUCCUCCUGCUCCCACUUCCCACGAGCACUGGGUGGAAGCUGUCUGCCACUCUGUUCCAGCUACCCCGCUCCUCAACAUAGAUCCAUGCUGGGGGCAGGCGGGAGAUGAGAGAAACUGGGUGUCAGUUUCAAGCAUUCACAGGACCAUCAGACUUUCCACGUUGCCGAGAAGAAGCUGUCAGUACAACUCCUGUGAGGUGUCUCCUUGGCCUUCCUCUGCCUGGAACUGCCUCCUGAAAGCUCCCGCAGAAGAGAAAGGGCCAGGCCCUAGGAAGGAGCACAAGAGGGCCACCAGCACAGGCUCUGACCCCCCCUGCUGGGAUUCCGGGCCUGCUUCCACCUCCAGUGACCUCGAGCAAGCCCCUACCCAAGACACCGCCCCUCGCUGGGCCUCCGUUUCCACCUCUGUAGGGUGGGGACAUUAAUAACCACCUGCUUCCCAGGGUCCCUGUGAGAAUGAAAUGCGCUCCCCCGGGUGACCGCGCCAAGCACCUGGUAAUGAAUGGGACACAUGUUUGCUGACGGCCUGGGGUGUCUGCGGGCCAGGGUCAGCAUCUGGGAAGUCCCACCCCUCAGAGAAUUUGUGGUCCCACCUUAAAGAGUGACCCGGCCAGGAAGACUCUCCCACUAAUUCAGAUUCACCCGUGGGGAUGCACGGGGAAUCGCUCAGCGGAGGAGGGCCAGGGUCCCGGCUCUAGCUUUGCCCGAGUGUCUGUCACUCUCCUUCCACCUCUGGGCCGCCUCUAAGACUUGAGGAGCUUGGACAGGAGCCUGGGGGCCUCUUCGACCCGGGUUAUCCAUUCAGACUUGCCCCUCCCAGCGGGCCGCCCCCUCCCUGGGCAGCCAGCGAAUCUGCAAGUUUGCCCAGGGAGUACGUCUGGUGGUCUCAGAACCACACUCCUUCCAGCCCUCAGGAGUCAGCCGGGUGGCCAGGCCCAAAGGUGAUGGCCGCAGCCCAGCCUUCAUCUUCUGGACCCCCACCCACCUCCACCAAGCUCUGUUUUCCCCCUCGGAGCCCAGAUUAUACUUCGUGGACAAUCCCUUGCUCUCUCUGGGCCUCAGCUUCCCCUCGCAAGAAUGGGCAGCUGGAUGUCUCCAGCGGUCCAGCUAAGCCUUCUCACAAUGUAGGAACUCGGCCUCCAUCCUCCACUCCCCACCCCCACUGCAGGUGCCUAAGGACCUCGCCCCCCUUGCCCCACCCCUCCCCGUUGCUCCCUCCCCUCUCUCCUCCUCUGCUGCUGCACUGGGGCCACUGCUGGCUGGGGUCCCAGGCACCAGAGGGGGACCCCACAGAACAGUAGAAGGAAGGGCGGUGGUCUUUAGGAGGAGAGAAUGGGAUGCCCUGGCUCCAUCAAGCCAGCCCAUUCCUGCCCCUCUCCUGUCAUGUUUUAAUGUCUCUUCACAUUCUUAUCUCCCACCAACAAGGAGGCUCCUGAGGGCGGGGCGGGGGCAGGGGAGGGUGGCAUCCAGCCUUUCCCCUCUGUAUCCCCAGCACCUGGAUCCUGGGACCUGUUUCCUGACGGGACAGGGCAAGGUCUGGGGCAGGAGCCAGGACGAUAACAUGGUCCUGGCCUGUGGCCUGUUCAACAUGCUCCAAGUGUCCCCACAGGGCCAAACCAUGCCACCAAGACAGGGCUGCCCUGGACCCUCCCUCGGCUGUCUCCUCCCUCCCUUCUCAGCUCCUCUGCCUUUUAAUCUCUCACUCCCGCUUCCCUGCCACCCAAGACCUCCUCCGCUUGUGUCCAGCCUUCCCCCUGGAGAGCCAGUCAUUUCCAGCUCUUUCUGACUCCAACUGGAAGGGGGGUAGGGAUGGGGGAGAAGGGGCUUUGGAUCACGAGGGUAGAGGAAGGGAGGCAGGACCCUCACAGUGCUCUGGCUUCAGGGCGAAAUGUCGAAAAAUCAUUCAGAACUUCUUCCUACGGGAAAUUCGCCUACUUGCGUAAUUUUCAUAUCCAAUUCUGCUACAAGAGCGUCUGUGUCCUUCCCACCUUCAGUUCCGUUUCUAAACACUCUCUUUUAUUACUUGAGUCAUGGGAAGUGCCAGGUCCCAAUGAGUGUGUGGGGGGGACGAGAGGUGGCAGAGGAGGAGAAAUGCCUCAGUGACAGUGAAGAAUCGCUAAGUGUGAUUUCGUUGAACCCAGAUCCUGGUGUCAGCCCUGAAAUUCCUCCUCCUCCAGGAAGCCCUUCUGGGCUGGGGGGAAAGCCCCUGAUUUAAGAAACAGUAUCAGAUGUUUCCUAGAUCUAACUGGUUGUUCUCCUGCCUCUGCCCCUCGCCGCCUGAGGAGCCCUUCCUCCAUAUGUGUCCAAGUGCCCCCAUCUGUCACUGCCAGGUGUAAAGGGCACUACUUCCCAGGAGAAGAGCCUAACCCUCCCCAGGCACUUUCUACCCUGGGCUGCCGUGAUCACAGGUCUGGGGACCAGCCUGGCUUCGCCCAAGUGUCUUUCAAGUCACUUUCAGCCCCUGGGGCUUCUCUUCAGAAACCUCAGCGGUGGAUACAAGCUUACCGGCCAGUUAGGCCACCCUGCCCUGGGUGUCAUCUCCUCGCUAGCCUGUGAGCAAGAUCCCUGACCCAGAUUCAGUGGACACCGAGGAAUCCGUCCAUUCAUUGGGUGACUCAGUGGAUGAAUUCAGAGCUUGGGGACACUGAGACCUAGAGCUGUCUCGACAUUAAGCCUCUGAGCCACCUCAGCAACUGUCCUUCCUUUUCCGUCCCAGCCCAGUAACAAAAUCACCUUCUAGGCCACCAGCCAGCCAGCCACACCCUCAGCAUGACCUCAGGGGAAAUGAUCAAAAAGGGUGACAAUGUGUCCUCUCGCUGUUUUUUUCUUCCAACAUAAUUAUACACCAUGGAGAUAAUAAUACUAACUGCAAAUAUUUAUUAAACGCCUAUUGUAUGCCUGGCACUCAGCUCUAGGCUUUCCUGUGCAAUAUCUCAGUUAAUCUUCAUGAUCCUCCAUGAGGUGGGGUCUCUACUAGCCCCCAAUUUCCAGACCAGGAAACGAGGCUGGAAGAAAUGAAACUUGCCAAGGUCACAUAGCAAGCUGGUGACAGAACCUGGAGACUCUGUGAAAUCAUUUUUGAUGCAUUUGUGUGGCAAUAUUUUUGCAUUUCUAUAGUGCUCUUUCAGACUUCUCAUUUUUAUUAUUUUAAUUUAAUGUCCUGAUCUAUUUUCAGUUCAUUAUGCCUGUUCUGUUCGUUUGGCAACGUUUCUGCGAACUGUCAAUUUUGUCCUCCUCUUUAAGAGAGUAGCAAUAGUCAGUGGAAUUUGUGAGAAUAUGGGUAAAUAGGUAAAGUGGACAUGGAUGACUGAAAAUUAAUUGUUAAAAUGAAACAACCUAGAAAGCAGACAAAAUUGCUUGCAAAAGGCAUAUGAAAAUUGCAGAAUCUCCCCAGGGUGCGAGGACCUUGUCAAGACGUGAACGAAUGGCUGUAAACAUUCAUUUCCAACCAAAUUCCUUUCAGCUGAUUCACUUGGAACUUAGGGGAAAAAACUUGAAAUUUGUUAUAACUUUGUCAGGCAAAUGCAUAAUUGCUGGGAAAUUAUUUAGAAAUUAAAAGCCCAGAAGUCUGGAGAUGAAAAUGGAGAGUAAAGAGAUACCAAUAAAAGCUAAAAUACACUUUUAAGGUUUUCAGGCCAACCCAUGGGGCAUAAAAAUUAAUAAUACCUGAAAAAACGGGCCAGAAAUACUGUUUCAACCAACUUUUUCUGUAUCAGAUUCACUGAAGUAUAAUUGUGUGCAAUAAAAUGCACAGAUUUUUAAGUGUAGCGUUUAACUUCUGACAAAUAUAUAUACCCAAGUAACAAUCAUACAGUCAAGAUAUCCAUUGACAUUGACAUUGACAUUGAUAAGAGACUGAACAUUUACAUCAGCCCAGAAAGUUCCUCUGUGCCUCUUGGUAAUCAAUCCCUUCACCCCUAGUGAACCAAUGAUCUGGUCCCUAUAAUCAGAGUUUACGUCUGCCUGUUCUAGAAGUUUAUAAAAAUGGACUCAUACAUGCUGUAUUUUUUCAUGCUUGUCUUCUUGCACUCAGUAAAAUGUUUUUGAGAAUUAUGUAUUUUGUUGCUUGAACCAACUCCGGGUCAGUCAGUUCUUUCAUUUUGAUCCAUUGUAUGAAAACACCACACUGUGUUUAUCCAUUUGUCUCUUGAUGGGCA